rnacentral:tRNA from 1 species
UGGGGUGUAGCUCAAUGAUAGAGCAUUUGUCUAGCACAAGUGAGGUACUGGGUUUGAUUCUCAGCACCACAU